rnacentral:rRNA from 1 species
AUUGAACGCUGGCGGCAGGCUUAACACAUGCAAGUCGAGCGGAGCGAGGGUGCUUGCACCUUAGCUUAGCGGCGGACGGGUGAGUAAUGCUUAGGAAUCUGCCUAUUAGUGGGGGACAACAUUCCGAAAGGAAUGCUAAUACCGCAUACGACCUACGGGGGAAAGCAGGGGAUCUUCGGACAUUGCGCUAAUAGAUGAGCCUAAGUCGGAUUAGCUAGUUGGUGGGGUAAAGGCCUACCAAGGCGACGAUCUGUAGCGGGUCUGAGAGGAUGAUCCGCCACACUGGGACUGAGACACGGCCCAGACUCCUACGGGAGGCAGCAGUGGGGAAUAUUGGACAAUGGGCGGAAGCCUGAUCCAGCCAUGCCGCGUGUGUGAAGAAGGCCUUUUGGUUGUAAAGCACUUUAAGCGAGGAGGAGGCUACUUAGAUUAAUACUCUGGGAUAGUGGACGUUACUCGCAGAAUAAGCACCGGCUAACUCUGCGCCAGCCGCCGCUGUAACAC